rnacentral:rRNA from 1 species
AUUGAACGCUGGCGGCAUGCUUUACACAUGCAAGUCGAACGGCAGCGCGGGCUUCGGCCUGGCGGCGAGCGGCGGAGGGGUGAGUAAUACAUCGGAACGUGCCCAGUAGUGGGGGAUAGCUGGGCGAAAGCCGGAUUAAUACCGCAUACGACCUGAGGGUGAAAGGGGGGGAUCUUCGGACCUCGCGCUAUUGGAGCGGCCGAUGGCAGAUUAGCUAGUUGGUGGGGUAAAGGCCUACCAAGGCGACGAUCUGUCGCUGGUCUGAGAGGAUGACCAGCCACACUGGGACUGAGACACGGCCCAGACUCCUACGGGAGGCAGCAGUGGGGAAUUUUGGACAAUGGGCGAAAGCCUGAUCCAGCAAUGCCGCGUGUGUGAUGAAGGCCUUCGGGUUGUAAAGCACUUUUGGCGGGAACGAAAAGGACUGUGCCAAUACCACGGUUCGAUGACGGUACCCGCAGAAUAAGCACCGGCUAGCUACGUG